CCUCAGCCCACCAUCCCCAUCUUGGCAAGUGGCUGGCCUGGCUCUCCUUGGAGCUGUGGUCAUUGGAGCUGUGGUGGCUGUUGUGAUAAGGAGGAGGAAGCUGGCAGGUUGUUUUCUCUGUUCAGAUGGAAAAGGAAGGAGCUGUGCUCAGGAAACAGGAAGUGACAGCACCCAGGGCUCCCAUGAUUUUCUCCUAGGAUUUAAAGGUGAGACCUGGGAAAGCCUGAAGUGG